GAUGAACGCUAGCUACAGGCUUAACACAUGAAAGUCGAGGGACCGGAGCACGGGUGAGUAACACGUAUCCAACCUGCCCUUUACUCGGGGAUAGCCUUUCGAAAGAAAGAUUAAUACCCGAAAUAAAGGCUGGGGAUGCGUUCCAUUAGGUUGUUGGGGAGGUAACGGCUCACCAAGCCUUUGAUGGAUAGGGGUUCUGAGAGGAAGGUCGCCCACAUGGGAACUGAGACACUGUCCAAACUGCUACGGGAGGCAGCAGUGAGGAAGAUUGGUCAAUGGGCGCUAGCCUGAACCAGCCAAGUAGCGUGAAGGAUGAAGGCUUAUGGGUCGUAAACUUCUUUUAUAUAAGAAUAUGUAUUAUAGGAAUAAGGAUCGGCUAACUCCGUGCCAGCAGCCGCGGUAAUUC
rnacentral:rRNA from 1 species